rnacentral:rRNA from 1 species
GAUGAACGCUGGCGGCGUGCCUAAUACAUGCAAGUCGAGCGAACAGAUGAGGAGCUUGCUCCUUCGACGUUAGCGGCGGACGGGUGAGUAACACGUAGGUAACCUACCUAUAAGACUGGGAUAACUUCGGGAAACCGGAGCUAAUACCGGAUAAUAUUUCGAACCGCAUGGUUCGAUAGUGAAAGAUGGCUUUGCUAUCACUUAUAGAUGGACCUGCGCCGUAUUAGCUAGUUGGUAAGGUAACGGCUUACCAAGGCAACGAUACGUAGCCGACCUGAGAGGGUGAUCGGCCACACUGGAACUGAGACACGGUCCAGACUCCUACGGGAGGCAGCAGUAGGGAAUCUUCCGCAAUGGGCGAAAGCCUGACGGAGCAACGCCGCGUGAGUGAUGAAGGUCUUCGGAUCGUAAAACUCCGUUAUUAGGGAAGAACAAACGUGUAAGUAACUGUGCACGUCUUGACGGUACCUAAUCAGAAAGCCACGGCUAACUACGUG